rnacentral:rRNA from 1 species
GGAUGAACGCUGACAGAAUGCUUAACACAUGCAAGUCAAUGGGGAAACGGUGCUUGCACCGUGAUAACCAUGGCGGACGGGUGAGUAACGCGUAAAGAACUUGCCUCUUAGUCUGGGAUAACAGAUGGAAACGACUGAUAAGACUAGAUACUAUUAAAGCUUCGCAUGAAGCUUUAAUGAAAAGAGAUGCUAAGAGAGAGCUUUGCGUCCUAUUAGUUAGUUGGUGAGGUAACGGCUCACCAAGACGAAGAUAGGUAGCCGGUCUGAGAGGAUGAACGGCCACAAGGGGACUGAGAUACGGCCCUUACUCUACGGGAGGCAGCAGUGGGGAAUAUUGGACAAUGGAGGAGACUCUGAUCCAGCAAUUCUGUGUGCACGAAGACGGUUUUCGGAUUGUAAAGUGCUUUCAGCAGGGAAGAAGUAAGUGACGGUACCUGCAGAAGAAGCGACGGCUAAAUACGUGCCAGCAGCCGCGGUAAUACGUAUGUCGCGAGCGUUAUCCGGAAUUAUUGGGCAUAAAGGGCAUCUAGGCGGAUAUACAAGUCAGGGGUGAAAACUUAGGGCUCAACUCAAAGCUUGCCUUUGAAACUGUAUAUCUAGAGUGCUGGAGAGGUGGACGGAACUACACGAGUAGAGGUGAAAUUCGUAGAUAUGUGUAGGAAUGCCGAUGAUGAAGAUAGUCCACUGGACAGCAACUGACGCUGAAGUGCGAAAGCUAGGGGAGCAAACAGGGUUAGAUACCCUGGUAGUCCUAGCUGUAAACGAUGAUUACUGGGUGUGGGCAUGAAGAGUGUCUGUGCCGAAGCUAAUGCGAUAAGUAAUCCGCCUGGGGAGUACGACCGCAAGGUUGAAACUCAAAGGAAUUGACGGGGACCCGCACAAGCGGUGGAGCAUGUGGUUUAAUUCGACGCAACGCGAGGAACUUACCAGAUCUUGACAUCCUACGUAGGCCUGUGAGAACAAGCCGUGGCCUUUCUGGAACGUAAAAGACCAGUGGUGGCACUG